UACAGAGGUCUCAAGCGUUGUUCGGAUUCAUUGGGCGUAAAGGGUGCGUAGGCGGCGCGGUAAGUCGGGGUGUGAAAUCUUGGAGCUUAACUCCGAAACUGCAUUCGAUACUGCCGUGCUUGAGGACUGGAGAGGAGACUGGAAUUUACGGUGUAGCGGUGAAAUGCGUAGAUAUCGGGAGGAACACCUGUGGCGAAAGCGGCGCACUGGACCACUUCUGACGCUGAGGCGCGAAAGCUAGGGGGAGCAAACAGG
rnacentral:rRNA from 1 species